rnacentral:sRNA from 1 species
GCUCCACCAAAAGGCUCCACAAUCACAUACCGCCCAAAACCAACGUUCAACCCAUUGGCAAUCGCCACGUCAGCGGCUACAAUUGCCGCACAACAACAACAGGCACAGGCUCAACAGCAACUCGCCGCGGCAGCACUUAUGGGUGGCGGACAGGUACAGUAACCAGGAUGGAAAAUUGGAAAAAAGACUGAAAAAAAAAGUUUCAGGGAGUCCAGGUACAGCAGCAACUGGUCACUAACGCACUGCUCCAACAACAUCAAUUUGCAGCCGUUCAACAAGAGG